rnacentral:rRNA from 1 species
UACGAAGGGGGCUAGCGUUGCUCGGAAUCACUGGGCGUAAAGGGCUCGUAGGCGGUCUGUCGCGUCGGGAGUGAAAACUCAGGGCUUAACCCUGAGCCUGCUUCCGAUACGGGCAGACUAGAGGUAUGCAGGGGAGAACGGAAUUCCUGGUGUAGCGGUGAAAUGCGCAGAUAUCAGGAGGAACACCGGUGGCGAAGGCGGGUCUCUGGGCCGUAACUGACGCUGAGGAGCGAAAGCAUGGGGAGCGAACAGG